rnacentral:lncRNA from 1 species
AUUAACCAGAAAUGAGGAGCAGAGAGCCUGGGGGAGGCUGGAAGCUGGGUACGCAGGGAGAGACAGAGACUAAGAGACAGUGAGAUACCAAGAUAGGGAGAGCCACGUGAUAGACUGGGGAGAGAUGAGAAAGAGACCAAGAGACCAUGAGGGAGUCAAGAGUCACCCCGCCACCCCCCUGCAGUGACCAAGCUGGCCCUGGCAGAGGGAGGGGUGUCUCUGGAGAGCUCCCAGCUGGAGGCAGGGUUUCUCUAUGUUGCCCAAGCUGGUCUUGAACUCCCGACCUCAAGUGAUCUGCCCGCCCCGGCCUCCCAAAGUGCUGGGAUCACAAGCGUGAGCCACCGCACCUGGCCCUUCCUCUGAGGCCUUCGUCUCCAAGAAUCCAGCAAAGUGACAAUAAUGAAAAUAAUGUCACUAAAGGGCCAGCACCACAGAAGAAAUCUCACUGGAACACCUGACUUCAAGUGUGACCUUGAAUCUCACUGAGCUCUCAAAUGUAACUGCCAGUUCCCCAAAAUGUGAGGAACUGAGAAACAGAGUUUUGCUCUUGUUGCCCAGGCUGGAGUGCAAUGGCACAAUCUCGGCUCACUGCGACCUCCAUCUCCCAGGUUCAAGCGAUACUCCUGCCUCAGCCUCCCAAGUAGCUUGGAUUACCGGUGCCCACCACCACGUCGAGCUAAUGUUUGUAUUUUUGGGACAGACAGGGUUUUACCAUGUUGUCCAGGCUGGUCUCGAUCUCCUGACCUCAGGUGAUCCACCUGCCUCGGCCUCCCAAAGUGCUGGGAUUACAGGUAUGAACCACAUGUGCCCAGCCCAAAAGCUACAAUUUUAUCCUCAACAGUCUGGUUCCCAAGUCUAUGCUCUUAAAAAGGUAACCCCCAUUCUCUCCCCUAAAAAGUCUCAACAGAGGGAGGAGUUGUCAACAAAUAUAUAGCAGAUCUUGCCCUAGAGUCUCCUGAAACAAAAGGUAGACUGAGUGUAAAUAAAGCUCUAGCCCAGUCCAGCCUAGCUCAAUUCCUGAUUGGACUGAGGUGAUCAGCCUGUUAUCCUAUCUGCCUAAGAGAGGGAAAGGACACUUCUCACUGGGCAAAGAUGACAUUGCUUCAUCCCUAUGGUUCUUUUUUAUACAAUGUCCAGAAUAUAAUAAAAAACUACAAGGCAAGGGAUGAGGCAGGAAAAUGUGGUGGAUAAGAGAGAAAAAGAGACAACAGAAGCAGACACAUGGAUGAUCAAAUCUGGAAGUCAGCAAACAGAAACUUUUAAAGUUAGAAGAAAAGAUGAGCAAAAAUGAGACAAAAGAUGGAGAAUUUCAACAGGGAAUUGGGAUCUACAAAAAAAUCACAUGGAUAUUUUACACUGGAAAAAAAUAUAUAAUAUCUGAAUUUUUUUUUUUUUUUUUUUUGAGACGGAGUCUCGCUCUGUCGCCCAGGCUGGAGUGCAGUGGUGCGAUCUCAGCUCACUGCAAGCUCCGCCUCCCGUGUUCAUGCCAUUCUCCUGCCUCAGCCUCCCGAGUAGCUGGGACUACAGGCACCCACCACCAUGCCCAGCUAAUUUUUUGUAUUUUUAGUAGAGACGGGGUUUCACCAUGUUAGCCAGGAUGGUCUCGAUCUCCUGACCUCGUGAUCUGCCUGCCUCAGCCUCCUGCAGUGCUGGGAUUACAGGCAUGAGCCACUGCGCCCGGCCUAAUAUCUGAAAUUAAGAACUCAACGGAUGGGGUCAACAGGACACUGGGCACAACAGAAGACAUAAGUGGUGAACUCAUAGACAAGUGAACAAAAAACUUCCCAGUUGGAUUACAGAGAGGAAAGAAUGGAAAAAACAGAACAGGACAUAACAGAUGUGAUCAAAAGGCCUAAUAUAUGUGUAAUUGGAGUCCCAGGAGUGAAGAGUGAAAAUGAGGCAGAAAAAAAUUCAAGUGAGAAUGGCUAAGAAUUUCCCCAAACUGAUGAAAGGCAUCCACCCACAAAUCCCAAUUUUGUACUUCCAACCACUGUUAUACCACCCCCCUCAACAAUGCCUAUAAAUGUUUGUUGAAAAUGAGUGAAUGAAUGUACUCCAAUCAUUUUCUCACUUGGAUGUUCCCUACUUUUUGCUCUUCUUAGAAAAUAAUAAAUGGUACAAUAAUAUCUCCCA